GAUGAACGCUGACAGAAUGCUUAACACAUGCAGUCACUGAUUGUGGCGGACGGGUGAGUAACGCGUAAAGAACUUGCCUCACAGCUAGGGACAACAUAUGGAAACGAAAGCUAAUCCCUAACACUGUGAGAGAGCUUUGCAUCCAAUUUGCUAGUGGGAGAGGUAACGGCGCACGAAGGCGAUGAUGGGUAGCCGGCCUGGGAGGGUGAUCGGGCCCAAGGGGACUGGGACACAGCCCUUACUCAUACGGGAGCCAGCAGUGGGAAAUAGUGGACAAUGGACCAAAGUCUGAUCCAGCAAUUCGGUGUGCAAGAUAAAGUUGUCGGAAUGUAAAGGGCUUUCAGUUGGGAAGCGGUACCAACAGAAGAAGUGACGGCUAAAUACGUGCCAGCAGCCGCGGUAAUAC
rnacentral:rRNA from 1 species